UACGUAGGUGGCAAGCGUUGUCCGGAAUUAUUGGGCGUAAAGCGCGCGCAGGCGGUUCCUUAAGUCUGAUGUGAAAGCCCCCGGCUCAACCGGGGAGGGUCAUUGGAAACUGGGGAACUUGAGUACUGAAGAGGAAAGCGGAAUUCCACGUGUAGCGGUGAAAUGCGUAGAGAUGUGGGAGAACACCAGUGGCGAAGGCGGCUUUCUGGUCAGUAACUGACGCUGAGGCGCGAAAGCGUGGGGAGCAAACAGG
rnacentral:rRNA from 1 species